rnacentral:rRNA from 1 species
UGCGGAGGGUGCGAGCGUUGUCCGGAAUCACUGGGCGUAAAGGGCGCGUAGGCGGCGCGGGGAGUCAACGGUGAAAGCUCGGCGCUCAACGCCGAGUCGGCCGUCGAUACUCCCGUGCUCGAGCACUGUAGAGGCAGGUGGAAUUCCGGGUGUAGCGGUGGAAUGCGUAGAGAUGACAUAGAACACCAAUUGCGAAGGCAGCUCACUAAACAGCUAUUGACGCGGAGGCACGAAAGCGUGGGGAUCAAACAGG